rnacentral:lncRNA from 1 species
GUCACGUAACAAUUCAAAACCAAAAUAUUAUGAACAUGUUACUAAUGGAAGUAUGCAUGUUAAAACUAGUUGUAAUAAUUUAAGAAGAGUUAAUGUUCCAUUUGAGAUGUGAAGAAAAUGACUGAUGGCAAUAAACGAAAUGUUGCGAUUACGAUCGUCUGCUAAAUUUGAAUACACUAAUUAAACACUUCGACAGAGAGGCAAUAUAGAAAUGAAAUGCGACGUUUUCCUAUACAAUGUGAAAAAUAAUGAUAUUGUAAAUACCUUGCGCGGAACACCGAACAAAAACAUUAAACAUUACAAUAAUGACUACAGGUUUACCUUAUAUAUAAAAUUAAAAAAAAAAUCCGUAAUAUUUUACCUAAUUUAAAAUAUAAUCAUCUUCAUUUAAUGUUACCUUUUUGUUUUAGAAAUUCAGACAGCACAAUGUUACCGGAAUGUCACUUCAAUUUUUGUCCACAGACCACAUGACCAGAGGCAUGGGGAUGAAAGUUGGACCAGCUAUUGUUUUGAGUGACGCUAUUACGCGCGAAGUGCAGAACAGCAGGAAACGGUCAAUGUCAUGUUACCACUGUAGUUCGAAAUUACUCAGGGAUGACCAUAAACUAUUUGUUUAAGUAAACAUGUACUGUAUAGUGUAUAAUAGAUAUAAAAUUGAACAGUGCUAUGCGCCAUGCAUAUUUUAAGGUUACAUGAAGUGUUCAGAUCUCUUUUCAAAAAUAAUGCAUGACUAUCUAAUAAAUUGAAAAAAAAAUCAGAUUCGUCGGUCUCUAUUAAUUCAUUGCAUGACAGCAAAAUGGUUACUACUACUUUUUGGCAUCCAGGG